rnacentral:lncRNA from 1 species
UGACUUCAUCACAUACUGAAUUGGCUAAGAAAGGUACUAAAGUUUUGUUUUCUAUUUUUAAGUAUCUUUCUCCUUUAGAAAAUGUGUCUAUAAAACUAUACAAAAAAUUGUUUGAAUCACUAGUUAAACCUAUUCUCAUGUAUAACUCUGAAAUUUGGUAUAUGGAUUUUUAUGAAAAAAUAAUAAGAGCUGAAAGACGAGCACAAAUUAAAGACAUGAGUAAAUUUGAUAUUCUAGCAAUGAUUGAUAGUAGCCAAGUGGAGAAGACACAUUUAAAAUUUUGCAAAUAUGUACUGGGGCUUAGUAAACAAUCUGUCAAUAUAGCUGCAAGAGCAGAACUAGCUCAGUAUCCCAUAGAUGUCUUUAUUAAAGUACAAUCAUUGAAGUACUUAGCAAGAAUUUCUAGUGAUGAAAAUAACCCUUUAUUAUAUGAUGCUUUCUGUUUAUCUAAAUGGCUUAGCACUAACGGUAUAUUUUCAUGGUUCUCAUAUGUAGAAAAUAUAGCCAAUGUAAAUAAAUUAGACAUAAAUAAAAUACAGGAUAUAAACUAUAAACAAGAGAAGAGUUCAUUCUCAAAAAAUAUUAAAAAAGAACUAAAAGAUAGCUUUGAAAAUAUUUUCUUUGAAAAAUUAAAAUUAACUAAUGAAACCAGU